AGGCAGCGCGUUUGCGCACCCGGACGAGGCGGGCCAGUACCCGGACAGCGAAAAGACUGGCUCUCA
rfam:Microbacterium azadirachtae strain DSM 23848 RL72_contig000076, whole genome shotgun sequence.